rnacentral:tRNA from 1 species
CUUCAUGUAGGGCGAGAGAGCCCAGCCGUUGUCCUCGGCGAUGGCCUUCAUGGCCGGGUACCAGGAGGCCGCGUGCGAGUCGCCGAUGAGGGC